AGGUAGUAUCAUAAAGAAAAACCCAUAUAUAAUGGCGGUUUCUAUUUCUUAGAGGAACCCCCCCGAUAAUCGACAAUGCACGAUCAAUUUCACUUACACAAACAAAGUCUAUAUACCGCCGUAUAGGUCUAACUUAACUAUCAGACCAAAAAAGAAUACACCUAAAAAUACAGGUCAAGGUAUAGCUCACAUGUAAGCCAGGAUGGGUUACAUUAAAACAAAAUUAAGGAAGCUACCCCAAAACUAAAGCAGAAAAAGAAUCCAAUAGUAAAUCACCAAAUAAAAAUAGUAAUAGAAACCAAAACAGAAACGC
rnacentral:rRNA from 1 species